UGUGGAAUAUUGCGCAAUGGGGGAAACCCUGACGCAGCGACGCCGCGUGCGGGAUGAAGGCCUUCGGGUUGUAAACCGCUUUUGAUUGGGAGCAAGCUUUCGGGUGAGUGUACCUUUCGAAUAAGCGCCGGCUAACUACGUGCCAGCAGCCGCGGUAAUACGUAGGGCGCAAGCGUUAUCCGGAAUUAUUGGGCGUAAAGAGCUUGUAGGCGGUUCGUCGCGUCUGGGGUGAAAGCCCAUCGCUUAACGGUGGGUUUGCGCCGGGUACGGGCGGGCUAGAGUGCAGUAGGGGAGACUGGAAUUCCCGGUGUAACGGUGGAAUGUGUAGAUAUCGGGAAGAACACCAAUGGCGAAGGCAGGUCUCUGGGCUGUUACUGACGCUGAGAAGCGAAAGCGUGGGGAGCGAACAGG
rnacentral:rRNA from 1 species